GAUGAACGCUGGCGGCGUGCCUAAUACAUGCAAGUCGAGCGAACAGACGAGGAGCUUGCUCCUCUGACGUUAGCGGCGGACGGGUGAGUAACACGUGGAUAACCUACCUAUAAGACUGGGAUAACUUCGGGAAACCGGAGCUAAUACCGGAUAAUAUAUUGAACCGCAUGGUUCAAUAGUGAAAGACGGUUUUGCUGUCACUUAUAGAUGGAUCCGCGCCGCAUUAGCUAGUUGGUAAGGUAACGGCUUACCAAGGCAACGAUGCGUAGCCGACCUGAGAGGGUGAUCGGCCACACUGGAACUGAGCCACGGUCCAGACUCCUACGGGAGGCAGCAGUAGGGAAUCUUCCGCAAUGGGCGAAAGCCUGACGGAGCAGCGCCGCGUGAGUGAUGAAGGUCUUCGGAUCGUAAAACUCUGUUAUUAGGGAAGAACAAAUGUGUAAGUAACUAUGCACGUCUUGACGGUACCUAAUCAGAAAGCCACGGCUAACUACGUG
rnacentral:rRNA from 1 species